AUUCACCAGGCAGCUUCUUGGUGAAAUGCUUACGAAAAUGGGGAUUUCUCACUUAACUCUGGACUGGCAGCCGGAAGACGACCCAGGCUGUCCUCUUCCAACUGAGUACGGGAAAACGUCGCGGGAAGAAGCUUAUCCUGGGCACACAGAGAAAACACAAACGGUCUAGCGAACCAGUCUCCCGUAUUUUCUCCGCGCGAACUCUCUUCCUUUCCCUCCUGUUUCUCGUUAUCGCAGCUCCCGCCGGCAUCGGUUUUCUUACCAGAGGAUUGACUCAUUUACAAAGUGGUGUAGACAUUUACUUUUUCUCUGGCUCUUUCCCAGGGGCGCCGAAAGCGCGUUAUUUCAGCCGGGGCGAUUGCUGCGCACACUCCUUCCGCAGCUGCGUUGCCCAUCGGCCGCCCCUUGCAGUUCUUCCUUGGCCGUGGAAUCGAGUUAGAGUUUCUGGCUCUGUUUGGAGGGCUUAAAUGCGUACUUACCUGACCGCCUCUUUUCUUUGGUGUUUCCAUAACGGAGCCUACAGUCACGCCUUUCGACGAUGAACGCCGGUGGCGAACACGCGCUGUGUCUCGCCUUCCUCUUCGUCCAACGUGGCACUUUGCCGAUUAUGAGGUUCCAGUCUUCUCGCUUGACGCACCGUUUCCAUGCAUUGCAGAACGGGUCAUCCGGUGCGCUCUUUGGAGUAGGAGAUGGCGUCAAUCUUCCAUCACUUCGUGACGGAAUAUACGGAAUCUCGACUUCCUUUUCCUUCAUUUUCCACAGGCUGCCCACUGCACAGCAUUGGACUGGAU
rnacentral:lncRNA from 1 species